rnacentral:rRNA from 1 species
AGAGUUUGAUCCUGGCUCAGAUUGAACGCUGGCGGCAUGCUUUACACAUGCAAGUCGAACGGCAGCGCGGGCUUCGGCCUGGCGGCGAGUGGCGAACGGGUGAGUAAUGCAUCGGAACGUGCCCAGUAGUGGGGGAUAGCCCGGCGAAAGCCGGAUUAAUACCGCAUACGACCUGAGGGUGAAAGCGGGGGACCGAAAGGCCUCGCGCUAUUGGAGCGGCCGAUGUCGGAUUAGCUAGUUGGUGGGGUAAAGGCUUACCAAGGCGACGAUCCGUAGCUGGUCUGAGAGGACGACCAGCCACACUGGGACUGAGACACGGCCCAGACUCCUACGGGAGGCAGCAGUGGGGAAUUUUGGACAAUGGGGGCAACCCUGAUCCAGCCAUGCCGCGUGCGGGAAGAAGGCCUUCGGGUUGUAAACCGCUUUUGUUCGGGAAGAAAUCCUCUGGGCUAAUACCCCGGGGGGAUGACGGUACCGGAAGAAUAAGCACCGGCUAACUACGUGCCAGCAGCCGCGGUAAUUC